ACAGCAGCCGCCGCGGUAAGACAGAGGAUGCAAGCGUUAUCCGGAAUGAUUGGGCGUAAAGCGUCUGUAGGUGGCUUUUCAAGUCCGCCGUCAAAUCCCAGGGCUCAACCCUGGACAGGCGGUGGAAACUACCAAACUGGAGUACGGUAGGGGCAGAGGGAAUUUCCGGUGGAGCGGUGAAAUGCGUUGAGAUCGGAGAGAACACCAACGGCGAAAGCACUCUGCUGGGCCGACACUGACACUGAGAGACGAAAGCUAGGGGAGCAAAUGGGAUUAGAGACCCCAGUAGUCCCUGUCUCUUAUAC
rnacentral:rRNA from 1 species